rnacentral:SRP_RNA from 1 species
UAUAUAAGCCAUUACAACAGUUACAAUUGAACUUGGUCAGGACCGAAAGGUAGCAGCCAUAAGAUUAAGGAUUGUGUGUAGUGGUUUUUAUUUACUU